rnacentral:lncRNA from 1 species
UUUUCGAAUAUUCUUUUUCAACUUUUAUCAACGAAUUACAAAAAAUGUAUAUGACUUCACACCUUAAUAAAAAUAAGUCAUGUGUUUAAAUUUUAUCUGGUGUAAUCUAUUAUACAUAAUUUGAACGCGCUAGCAAAUUCAAAAUUUGUAUUCUUACAACCAUUCUUCUAUAAACUAUGGAGUUAAAUUGUGUUCUUACAACCAUUGCUUCUACAAACUAUGGAGUUAAACUGUGAUCUCAUAAUCAUUGCUUUCACUCUCUCUUCUUCUUACAUCUUCUACAUAUGCUUCAAGGAGUUGUCCGUCAUUACUGUUUCUCUUCCUAUGUCACCUGAUUGCAACGAAAGAAAAUUGAAAAUUAGAAGUUCGUCAUCUAAGGCCACUCAAAGGUUUGCUUUCAAAAAUAUAAUUUUUUUUGUUAGUUGUUUGGAUUGGAUGUUGUUCCAAUUGAUUGGAAAUAUCAAAAGGAGUUUAAGAUUUAAAUUUGAAGUGAUUUGGAGUAGAUUUGAGUUAAAUUUUAGAAAAGACGCAAGAAAUAAGACAAGUCAGUUUUUUGUAUAAUUAUGCAUAAUAGUGUAUAUGAGUGUAUAAAUACAUCUUAUACUAUAUUAUACACUUUUAUACAAGCAUUUGUAGACGAACUUCUUCCACGAUUUUCAGUUGUAAUUCUUUUUAAAAUCCGUCCAAAUCUCCAUUAAAUGACUUCAGAUUUAAUACACAAUCUUCUUAUACUAUUUCUAGCAAGCUUAAAUAACACCCCCUCCAAAUUUUUCAUAUAAUCAAAUUCAAAAUUUAAAUCCACAUAUUUAAGCUUGUUAAAAAUCUAAUUUUCACCAUCCAAAUAGAUUUGGUUUGUUGAACUAAUAAUUGAGUCACAGUUAAUGAUUUGAAAACUAACUUAAAAGCUUUAAUAGACUUUUUUAUAAAUUAAAUAGUAAUUUUGAGAAACUAUUGAAGUUGAUGCUGAGUAUUAGCCGAUUAUUUUUGAAUAAGUUUGUUGUAAAUUGAAAUAUAAAUUUACCCAACUUCAAAUACCCAUAAAGAGGAAAAGUCAACGACUAUCUCAACAUCUUUUUUUGAGUCUUUUCUUUUUUACUUCCCUCCUUUUUUGCAGUUUCUAUUGGGUGGUGAAAUCAAAUUUACUUUUCCCUUCUUUUUUAUAAUGAUGAAAUCUAUACUGAUUGAGAAGGAACUCUCGCAUGCAAAUAGAAAUAGCGGAAGAAAAGAUGGAGAAAAGGAGAGGAAUUAAGAGAUACAGAGUUGGUUUUGAAGCCUCUUAUACAGUAACAAUCGUCUCCCUUAACCACUAAAAACUAGAUUUAUAUUUUAGUCCCUUAAAUACCUAUUUAGUGUACUUCUAGCUCACAUAACAAUACUCUCCAUCAAGAUGGGGGUUGAGACACAUUCAGCAUCCCAAGCUUGGACAAUAGAAAAUGAUGCUGAGAAGAUCCUAAUCCUUUGGUAAUAAGAUCAGCUAACUGCAAAUUGGUGGAAAUGUAUUGUGGUGCCAACUGUCCAUUCUUGAUCUUCUCCCUCAGAAAGUGACAAUUGAUCUCAAUAUGCUUAGUUCGUUCAUGAAAUAUAGGAUUAGCAGCUAUCUGUAGAGCUGCUUUACUAUCACAAUGCAGUGGCACUGGCUGUUGAACCUGGACCUGUAGUUCCAUAAGCAAUCCUAGGAACCAUGUGACUUCUGCAGCUGCUGCUGCUAAACUCCUGUACUCAGCUUCUGUAGAGCUUCGAAUGACAGUAUGUUGCUUCUUGGACUUCCAUGAGAGCUAAGAAUUCCCCAAUUUUAUGACAUACCCUGUCACAGAUCUCCUAGUGUUAGGAAAAGAAGCCCAGUCGGAAUCACAAUAGGCAGACAAUGUAUUAAUAGGUCCUGCUUCAAGUAGAAUUCCAAGCCCUGGUGUUGCCUUUACAUAUCUCACUACUCUCAGUGCUGCAUCCCAAUGAGAUUGCUUUGGUUGCUGCAUAAAUUGACUGAGAACAUGUACAACAAAACUCAAGUUUGGUCUGGUAAUAGUCAGGCAAAGCAGUUUCCCAAUCAAUUUUUGAUAACUCCCUAUGUCCUCAAGUUCUGCAUGUCUAUUUACCCAUGCAUGCUUGUCAUACUCAAUAGUUGUCAACUUCUUAUUCAGCUUCAUUUGAGUAGAGAUAGACUUAGCUCCUGCAAGUCCAACCUCUGAUAUUAACUAGAGUGCAUAUUUUCUUUGUGUAAGCAAGAUCCCCUCCUUUGACCUCAAAGCUUCAAUGCCAAGAAAGUACCUUAAUUCCCCUAGGUCCUUAACCGUAAAAGAGUUAUGUAAUGUCUGCUUGGCUUCUUUUAUAAGCUCUGCACUACUUCCAGUAAUGAGCAAGUCAUCCACAUGCACUAAGAUAACAACAAUGUCUGAUGGUGUGUUCUUAAUGAAGAGUGAACGAUCAGAUGUACUCUGAUGGUAUCCUGCCUUCUCUAGAGCUUUAGUUAACUUGAUAUUCCAUCGUCUUGAAGCAUGUUUAAGACCAUAUAGUGAUUUAAGUAAUUUGAAGACCUUAUACUCCCCUUGUCUCUGGAAACAUUGUGGCAGUUCCAUGUAGACAUCUUCAUAGAGAUCCCUUUGCAAGAAGGCAUUAUUCAUAUCCAUUUGAAAAAGAUAUCAUCCUUUAGAAGCUGUUAUGCUAAUGAGUGUUCUAACAGUAACCAUUUUUGCAACUGGAGAAAAUGUCUCAUGAUAGUCCAAUCCUUCUUAUUGUGUAUAACCCUUUACUACUAAUCUAGCCUUGUACCUUUUUAUAUCCCCAUUUGCUUUAUGCUUUAUCUUAAACACCCACUUGGAUCCUAUAGCCCUCUUACCUGCAAGCAGAUCAACAAUGCUCCAUGUUGCAUUCUCUUCAAGGGCCUUGAUCUCUUCUGCCAUAGCUUCUACCUAAUUUGGGUCCUGACAUGCUUUUUUUAAAAAUUUUGGUUCAACUGCUACAGAGAACAUUCUCAAGUAAGCUUAGUAAUGUGCUGGCAAAUGAGAAUACGAGACACAUUUGGAAAUGCAAUGAGGAUGUUUUUGAGUGUUUGAGCUUGUAACAUAAUCUCUCAGCCAUAUGGAGGGCCUAGAAGUCCUGCUAGAUCUUCUGACACCAGCUGUUUCAGUAGCCCCAUGUUCAGUGAGUGACUGGUCUGGAGUUGGAUCUGUGCCUGACUGCACCUCAAUGGUUUUGUGGGAUCAAUAGUGUCAACUUAAUCCACUGCAUCUUCAGCUCAUCCAAUAUUUGAGUGUCUGUUGCAACUGUUGGUUCCAUGACUGGUCCCUAAGCUGCUUCAAAUUGACCAUGUGAUGUGGAGUAUUUAUUUGAUUCCUGAGUGGUGAUCUGGACUUCACUAUAGUGUUCAGGUGAAGUACUACAUGGAAACAAAUCUUCAUUGAUUUGAAUUCCUCCCUUGAAAGGGAACACUUGUUCUCUGAAUGACACAUCUUUACUGAUGAAUACUUUUCUAGCAUCCAAGUCAAAUAAUAUGUACCCCUUCUGUGUCUCAAAGUAUCCUAUAAGAACUGACUUCUUGCUCUUGGACUGAUUUGCCACCACCUGGUAAGUUUCUUUCAAAACAAAAACAACCAAACACCCUCGUGUGCUCUAUCUUUGCUGGUUUGUUAUGCAACAUUUCAUAAUGACACUUCCCUUUUAACAUUUUUGUGGGUAGUUUAUUAAUCAAGUAUGUUGUUGUCCUCACACAAUCACCCCAGAAUUUCAUUGGCAUUGAGCUCUGAAACAUCAGUGCCCUUAAAACUUCCAGGAUAUGUCUGUGCUUUCUCUCCACUGUCCUAUUCUGUUGAGGUGUAUAUGGACAACUACUUUGAUGUAUAAUUCCUAGAGAUGCUAGCAAAUUAUUGCAUUGAGAAUUAAAAAAUUCACUACCAUUCUCAGAUCUCAACACUUUCACAGUAGCACCAAACUGAUUCUUUAUCAUAGGAAGAAAGAUCUUUAUUACAAUUAGCAUUUCACAUUUUGAUUGAAUCAGGCAUACCCAGGUAUAUCUACUGUAAUCAUCCACAAUGGUAACAAAAUAGUAUUUUUUUUAUCAUAUAUGGGCACUUUAUGAGGUCCCCAAACAUCUAGGUGGGUGAGUUGAAAAGAACAGCCUGAGCUACUACUACUUGAAGGAAACUUUAACCUACAAUGCCUAGCUAAUGGACACACAUCAUAGUCUUCUUGCACCUGCAUGUUUACUUUAUUCCUUAACUCUGGGAUAUGCUGCAUUGACUUCAGAGAUGCAUGGCCUAAUCUCAAGUGUCAAAGUUUGUUUUCGGCUACUUUAUUCACCAAGAAACCUGCUACAGCUACUGUUAUAUUCUCCUUCAGCAAGUAUAGUCCAUUGUGUUCUGUACCAAUCCCCAUCACCCUGCCACUGUAAAGAUUCUGAAACAUACAAAAAUCAGGAAAGAAUGUGGUUGAGUAACUAAGAUGUUUGGUGAGUUUUGACACAGACAACAGAUUAAAUUUAAAUUCUGGUACAAAUAAGACAUUUUUAACUAUCUUAUUUCCCAGUAUAGAUGCUUCCCCAGUGUGAGUUAUUUGUGCCUUAUUUCCUGUGAGCAAUUGCACCUCACUCCUUCCUUAAUCAUAAGUUUUUCUCAUAUUACUCAGAAUAUCCUUAGUAUAUGUGACAUGAUGAGUUGCUCUUGUAUUUAUUACCCAAUCAAAAGUCACACAUACAUGUAUUUGCCAAUAAGGAAAUUAUACUUGUCAUGUUAGUAGAGCAUUCUGGUGUUGCAGAGUUGAACAAGUUGCUUGUAUUGUUUUCUAGUGAAGAACUGUCCAUUCCCUUGCACCUGAACAGUUGCUAUCUUAUUUUCCUCAUUGUUUACAUUCACAUUGUUGGUAUAGACCUUUCCUCCUCCAAUCUGAUUUUUCCUCUUGCUUUUUAAAUAAGAUGGAUAGCCAAUUCUACUUAAGAUGACCUUCGUAGCCGCAAUGCUCACAAAUGAUUCUCGACCUUUUACCUCUAAAAUCUGGACCUUUUCCUGCUAAUAUAGUGAGUGGUUCCUUAUGUGUAUCAAUUACUCCUAUGGCUCGUUGGCUUUCUUCCUGAGUAACUAUUGUGUAGGCUUCAUUAACAGUAACAACAGGUCUCUUUGCUAGUACAUUACGCCUUAUGUUACUGUAAAUCUCAUUUAAUCCCAUUAAAACUGUAAUACACGUCGUGGUCUUAAAUGCUCAAUUAAAGGUUUGGCCUCCUCACAGUCAUACGAAGACAAGGUCACUAACACAUCUAACUCAUCCCAUAAAUCCUUCAUUUUUGAAAAAUACGAAGUUACAGAAUUAGUACCUUGUCUCAGUGUCGCUAUAGUUGUCCAAAGAUGACAGAUUCUAGUCAGAUCUGAUCUAUCAAACCUCUCCUGGAAAUCAUUCCAUACAUUUCUUGCAUUUGAAGCAUAGACAAUGCUUGGAUCAACUCAUUCGACACAGUACUCUCAAUCCAUGACAAGACUAUUGCAUUGCAUUUUUCCGACUGUUCUGCCAAUUCGCCUCCAUAUGUGCUAUUUACACAUGUUCCGUCUACAAACCCUAGCUUACUCUUUUUCCCGGAGAGCCAAUUUCAUCGAUUUGCUCUACAGUGCGUAAUUGCAUGUCCCUGCAAGUUUGAGCGGUAUUAGAACAAGUCCAGGAGCAUCUGAGGGUUGCAAAAAUAGCGAAUGGUUAUGAUCUAGUGAAGCAACUUCAUUUCCAACCAUGGCUGACCAGAUCGGAGUUUCGUUGAGCUAUAAACAAGCUUCAUUUCUACAAAAUUCUUUCUAAUUCUGAUGAAUAUGUGACCACUGCUCUGAUGUCAUGAUGAAAUCUAUACUGAUUGAGAAGGAACUCUCGCGUGCAAUGGAAAUGGCGGAAGAAAAGAUGAGAAGAGGAGAGGAAUUAAGAGAUACAGAGUUGGUUUUAAAGAAGAGCUUAAUUAGCUCAUUACAAGAAGUGGUCCCCUCUUAUACAGUAAUAACUGUCACCCUUAACCACUAAAAACUAGAUUUACAUUUUAGUCCCUUAAGUAUAGAUUUAGUGCACUUCUAGCUCACAUAAAAAUAAUCGAAGAUUGUCAUAAAACCAGAAAAUGUGUACCUAUAGUAAUUGUCUAUAGCUAGAUUUGCAUAAAAAAAGACAACUUUAACAAGAACAAAAAAUAUCCAAUUGCACAGAAAAUAGUUUUACACAAUUGUGUUCAAGUUUUCACUGCAAAUGAAGAAAGUAAUUUUAUCUUAAUCUCAAGAUUUCUCUUCCUCUUCCUGAUGAAGUUCAUCUCUCUAAAUUCAUGUGCGCUCUCUCUCUCUCUCAAAAUAUAUAUGUAUAUAUAUGUGUGCGCGCGCACGUUAUUUGUUUACAUUUGUUCAUUGAGAGGACUUUUGGGUGUAGGACUUGUAGGAAAUAUUAGGUUCACCCAUAAGUGGUGCUCUAAGGCCUAUUAGGGUUAUUAGUUAAUACUAAUAUUCCCUAUAUAAGUACCCUUAGUGUGUAUAUUAAAUAUACUCUGAGCAGUAUUUUUCCUACGUUUAGUGUUCUCCCACAAUCAAACUAGGGUUUAGACACUAGAAUUGGGGGUUGCUCCAACAUACCAUGACAACCACCAUCGACCAGUAAUUCCAGCCACGGUUUAUCCGUUUUCACUUUCGCUUCGUGAAGAACAAGUAAGUUCUUGUUUUACGAUUGACGCGCUAUCUAAUAUAUUUAGAUUAACGUGUUCCUUCAUUGAUAUCAGAGCCAUAGACUGGUUUUCUGGUCUGGAUACAUAUAUAGAAGAGUUUUAGAUUUAUAUGUAAAUCUAGAAUGUCAUAUACAUGUAUCUUUACUAUGCAAUUGAGAUUGUUAAUCUGUUUGACAUAUUUGUUUUAUCAGUAGAAAUAAGUUUUCAGAUUUGAUAAAUAAAUAUAUAUGCAUUAAAUAAAAAAACCGUUAGUUGAUUUUGAGUGAAUCAAUUGCGUUUUUUAUGUAUGUCUCACUGAAUUGGAAAUCACAUUUGGGCAGUGAUUGAAACAUUUGGAAUGUAUAUUAAAUCAAUAUUAAAUAUGUUUAAAAACAAUCCGGGAUUUUGGUAAAUCAAUUUUAUUUAAAACUGAUUCAAUUUUUUUGAAUUAAAAAAACAUAUUAAUAAAUAAAGAAGAAGAGAGUACCGAUUUCUCUUGUUACAAUUUCUUCAAACAAACUGUCCCGUUGCCUGAGUUUUAUGCCAUGCUUGGUGGCUACCUUCCCAGAGACCCAACUGUUUUUGGGUAUAGCCAUGGCCGAACAUUGGAGCUUGGUGCUCCAGUGUUGUUGACAGCGACUCAUAACAGAAGGAAGAAGAGAAAUGAAGUUUUUUCCUUCCUAAAUCAAAUAAUAAAAAAUAUGUGGAGCCUGGUGCUCUAUGGCUACGGGAAAAGAAGAGAAUUAAAAAUAUUUUUCCAACUAACAGAAAAGGCUAGUAGCGGCUAACGUUGUAAGAGGAGCAUCCUCCUAAAACCCUACCCCUUUAAUUAUAAUUUUUAUUUAAAAGAAAAAUAUUUUUUUAAAGGAAGUAGG